AUUGAACGCUGGCGGCAUGCCUUACACAUGCAAGUCGAACGGCAGCACGGGAGCAAUCCUGGUGGCGAGUGGCGAACGGGUGAGUAAUAUAUCGGAACGUGCCCAGUCGUGGGGGAUAACGUAGCGAAAGCUACGCUAAUACCGCAUACGAUCUAUGGAUGAAAGCGGGGGAUCGCAAGACCUCGCGCGAUUGGAGCGGCCGACAUCAGAUUAGGUAGUUGGUGAGGUAAAGGCUCACCAAGCCGACGAUCUGUAGCUGGUCUGAGAGGACGACCAGCCAAACUGGGACUGAGACACGGCCCAGACUCCUACGGGAGGCAGCAGUGGGGAAUUUUGGACAAUGGGCGCAAGCCUGAUCCAGCAAUGCCGCGUGCAGGAUGAAGGCCUUCGGGUUGUAAACUGCUUUUGUACGGAACGAAACGGCGAGCUCUAAUACAGUUUGCUAAUGACGGUACCGUAAGAAUAAGCACCGGCUAACUACGUGCCAGCCGCCGCGGUAA
rnacentral:rRNA from 1 species